rnacentral:tRNA from 1 species
GGCCGAGUGGCAGAGUGGCCAUGCAGCGGACUGCAAAUCCGCGUACGUCGGUUCGAUUCCGGCCUCGGCCUCCA